UACGAAGGGGGCUAGCGUUGCUCGGAAUCACUGGGCGUAAAGGGUGCGUAGGCGGGUCUUUAAGUCAGGGGGGAAAUCCUGGAGCUCAACUCCAGAACUGCCUUUGAUACUGAAGAUCUUGAGUUUGGGAGAGGUGAGUGGAACUGCGAGUGUAGAGGUGAAAUUCGUAGAUAUUCGCAAGAACACCAGUGGCGAAGGCGGCUCACUGGCCCGAUACUGACGCUGAGGCACGAAAGCGUGGGGAGCAAACAGG
rnacentral:rRNA from 1 species